CCUACGGGGGGCAGCAGUGAGGAAUAUUGGUCAAUGGCCGAGAGGCUGAACCAGCCAAGUCGCGUGAGGGAAGAAGGCCCGACGGGGUGUAAACCUCUGUUGUAGGGGAGCAAAGCGAACCACGUGGGGGUCAGUGAGAGUACCCGAAGAAAAAGAAGCGGCUAACUCCGUGCCAGCAGCCGCGGUAAUACGGAGGAUGCGAGCGUUAUCCGGAUUUAUUGGGUUUAAAGGGUGCGCCGGCGGAGGUGCAAGUCAGCGGUCAAAUUGCGGGGCUCAACCCCGUACUGCCGUUGAAACUUCAGCCCUGGAGUGCGCGAGACAUAUGCGGAAUGCGUGGUGUAGCGGUGAAAUGCUUAGAUAUCACGAAGAACUCCGAUUGCGAAGGCAGUUCACUGGACUGCACCUGACACUGAUGCUCGACAGUGUGGGUAUCAAACAGGAUUAGAUACCCGAGUAGUC
rnacentral:rRNA from 1 species